CUGAAAAGACUUUGCCUGUGGCAGUGAGUCUUUUCCCUCCCCAGGAAGGAGGCAGCUCAGCACCAUGCUAUGCAGUGGCUUGGAGCAAGACCACCUGACAUGGUGCAUGGUGCAGCCACUGUCCCUGAGUGGCCUCAGGUGUCUGCAUCAGACCCAGGCCUUCUAGAGGUGGCACCUCACCCCAAAGCUUUGCCCCAGAAGAUACAUUCACAAAGCAGAGCAGGAACUGGGAGUCUGAACAUCCAGUUCUCUGUGAAAGGAAGACAAGUCCUCCUUGGCCAGCCACCCUGGGGACUGAAGGAGACAAGGCUCGGAUCCUGAGACUCCACCAGUGGAAGGCAGUGUCAUCACCCCGCUAGGGCAGAGGUGGGGUGUUCACCUGUCCUUUUCCUCCUCCCACAGGAAGGUGAUAUUCCCCAGCUUCCCCUUGUGGUUAUCAGUUGUGUGACUUGUUUUGGCUAAUGAAAUGUGCACAAAAGCAGUAUGUGCUGUUCUGGUAUGGCCGGCGUCUGCCUGUACCAUGUCCUCAUAUUUACCUCUGCAGGUAGACAUUCCAGAUAAUAAAGUUAUCCCCAAGUGUCCCUUAGAGGAGAGCUAGCUAGAAAGCCACCUGGCUCACAGGAGACUGUGAAGCAGACUCCUGGAGUCCAGCCACUCAGAUUUACGGUCAUGUGCUGUCAAUCCUAGGUGGACUAAUUACCCCAUUAUACUUCUUUCUUGUUCUGAAUUUGAUUCUCUUCUGCUUUCUAAAGCUCAUGUUCUUCCCUGGAAGUUGGGAAAGUCCCAUGACUUGGCUCUCUGGUGUGAUGCCCUGGGUUGUGCAUAUGAGGGAUGUGUGGUGCCUGGAGGGCUGCUGUGGGUACAGUGGGUGCUUAGGUUGUGAGCUGAGCUUUCUCCCAUCCCUUGGGACCUGUGUGGAGCAGACAGGCCUUGUGGGUCCAGGAUGGGGACCUUGACCAGAGGGCCUGGCCUCACUCAGGUGGGAGGGGAGAGGGGCUUGCGAUGAAUGCCCUCAGGCAGCCUGCAGCCACAGAGAGGAGCCUGUGGUUACUCCAGUUACAGUGGAAUCCAUGGAUCAGGUGAUCGAUUCCUAGGAUCAAUUCACUGCAGGCUGACGAGACUCAGUGUGUUUGAGGGAUUGGCUGUUGCCCCGCCAAUGCAAAAACUUGCGCUGUAAGCAGUAAUUAAGAAGUGCUUUGCCCUUGGCUGCUGUUCCUGGGAUGAAUGCCAGCCCCGUGAGACAGGGACAAGUGAUGGCACCUGCACGCAUGCAGCCAGCAUGGGGCUGGGCAAGCCUUGCCCUGGUUCCAGCCUGGCUCAUCUGGUGCACUCUUCCGGGGUAGGCACUGCUGGAAAAGGCCUGGGAAGGUGCAGAGGGGAGUCUGCCUAUGUGGCCAGCACCAAGGGGCCAGUGUGGUCCUAUAGAAGUGUCUCUGGGCCUAGAGGUGGGAAGCCUGAGCUUCGUGAAGCUGGCCAGGCCACAGCCAUGCUCUGGGGCCCAGUCUUGUCCUCUGUACAAUGGUUAUACACAGAGUCUUGUCUGUUCAGUCUUCGAUCCUUGGGGCAUAGUGUUGUGCAGACAGUCUCUGCCCUCGGGAGCUUCAAGUCUGGUCACCAUUAUGGGACCUUGUAGGCAAGGAUCCUUCAAUGCAAUCUGCAAUGAAUGGUGCACUCUGAAGCCUUCCAUUCUGCAGAGAAAAUAAAUGAGGAGAGAGGGUGGGAGCAUGGGAGAAAGCAGGACUGUGGAUGACCUGAUAUGCAAGCA
rnacentral:lncRNA from 1 species